CUUAGAGAGUGACAGUUGCAGCUGAAGUGAGAAGAGAGGAUGGGGUUUCAAAAAUACUAUUCACUCGUCACUUUCAGUGGCCAUAUCUCGAGCUACAGUGCUCCGAUUCGCGUGCCGUCAGCGACUACGCGAAGCUCUUUCCGAGCCUGUUACUUUCAUCUAACCUUCAUAGGUGCUAAUCAUUAGUGAGAAAAUGUUGGGUUAUAUCCCAAAUUUCAGUGAAUGAGCUUGAAUGUUGGAGCUUGUUGGUGAUUGUUGAUGCUUAUUGGAAUUGGUUGGUGACUUGGUUGUGGAUUGGAGGCUUGAAUUGUGCUCUAUUUGGGUUUUGGUACAUAUUGAGAAUCAACUAAGUUAUGAUUUUGGUUUUCUCUAUGUAAUAUAUAAUAUUUCUGGACACUUAGACUAGUGACCCAUAGGAUAGGUUUGAAUUGAAAUGGUUGUUGAAUUGUUGAACGAUGAUUUAUGAUGAAUUAUGAUGAA